CCCUUAGAUGUUCUGGGCCGCACGCGUGCUACACUGAGUGGAUCAGCGGGUCAGGUUGCGCGAAAGCGUUUCCUAAUCUUUAAAUCCGCUCGUGAUGGGGAUUGACGGUUGCAAUUUUCUGUCAUGAACGAGGAAUACCUUGUAAGCGCGGGUCAUCAUCCCGCGCUGAAUACGUCCCUGCCCUUUGUACACACCGCCCGUCGCUCCUACCGAUUGAGUGGUUUAGUGAGGACUCCUGAUUGGCGCCGCCGCCCCGGCAACGGAGCAGCGGACUGCCGAAAAGUUGUUCAAACUUGAUCAUUUAGAGGAAGUAAAAGUCGUAACA
rnacentral:rRNA from 1 species